GUUGACCUCGGAUCAGGUAGGAAUACCCGCUGAACUUAAGCAUAUCAAUAAGCGGAGGAAAAGAAACCAACAGGGAUUGCCCCAGUAACGGCGAGUGAAGCGGCAACAGCUCAAAUUUGAAAUCUGGCCCCAGGCCCGAGUUGUAAUUUGCAGAGGAUGCUUUUGGCGCGGUGCCUUCCGAGUUCCCUGGAACGGGACGCCAUAGAGGGUGAGAGCCCCGUACGGUUGGACACCAAGCCUUUGUAAAGCUCCUUCGACGAGUCGAGUAGUUUGGGAAUGCUGCUCUAAAUGGGAGGUACAUUUCUUCUAAAGCUAAAUAUUGGCCAGAGACCGAUAGCGCACAAGUAGAGUGAUCGAAAGAUGAAAAGCACUUUGAAAAGAGGGUUAAACAGCACGUGAAAUUGUUAAAAGGGAAGCGCUUGUGACCAGACUUGCGUCCGGUGAAUCACCCAGCUCUCGCGGCUGGGGCACUUCGCCGGCACAGGCCAGCAUCAGCUUGCCGUCGGGGACAAAAGCUUCAGGAACGUGGCUCCUCUCGGGGAGUGUUAUAGCCUGUUGUAUAAUACCCUUCGGCGGGCUGAGGUACGCGCUCCGCAAGGAUGCUGGCGUAAUGGUCAUCAGCGACCCGUCUUGAAACACGGACCAAGGAGUCAACCUUAUGUGCGAGUGUUUGGGUGUUAAACCCCUACGCGUAAUGAAAGUGAACGCAGGUGAGAGCUUCGGCGCAUCAUCGACCGAUCCUGAUGUUCUCGGAUGGAUUUGAGUAAGAGCAUAUAGGGUUGGACCCGAAAGAAGGUGAACUAUGCGUGUGUAGGGUGAAGCCAGAGGAAACUCUGG
rnacentral:rRNA from 1 species